AGGACGAACGCUGGCGGCGUGCUUAACACAUGCAAGUCGAGCGGUAAGGCCUUUCGGGGUACACGAGCGGCGAACGGGUGAGUAACACGUGGGUGAUCUGCCCUGCACUUCGGGAUAAGCCUGGGAAACUGGGUCUAAUACCGGAUAUGACCUCCUAUCGCAUGGUGGGUGGUGGAAAGAUUUAUCGGUGCAGGAUGGGCCCGCGGCCUAUCAGCUUGUUGGUGGGGUAAUGGCCUACCAAGGCGACGACGGGUAGCCGACCUGAGAGGGUGACCGGCCACACUGGGACUGAGACACGGCCCAGACUCCUACGGGAGGCAGCAGGUGGGGAAUAUUGCACAAUGGGCGAAAGCCUGAUGCAGCGACGCGCGUGAGGAUGACGGCCUUGGGUGUAAACCUCUUUCAGCAGGACGAAGCGCAAGUGACGUACCUGCAGAAGAAGC
rnacentral:rRNA from 1 species